GGAGUUUGGACCGUGUCUCAGUUCCAAUGUGGGGGACCUUCCUCUCAGAUCGGCUACCAAUCGUCGCCUUGGUGGGCCGUUACCUCACCAACUAGCUAAUUGGACGCGGGCCCAUCCCAUACCACCGGAGUUUUUCACACCGUACCAUGCGACACUGUGCGCUUAUGCGGUAUUGUCAGUCGUUUCCAACUGUUAUCCCCCUGUAUGGGGCAGGUUGCCCACGCGUUACUCACCCGUCCGCCACUCGGUUUUAAAUCGUCAUCCCCGAAGGAAAUCGUAAUAAAAACCUCGUUCGACUUGCAUGUGUUAAGCACGCCGCCAGCGUUCAUC
rnacentral:rRNA from 1 species